AUACGGAGGUUGCGAGCGUUGUUCGGAAUGACUGGGCGUAAAGGGAGCGCAGGCGGUUCGGUCAGUCUAGAGUGAAAAUCCGAAGCUCAACUUCGGACUUGCUCUGGAUACUGCCAGACUAGAGUACGCGAGAGGAAAGCGGAAUUCCAGGUGUAGCGGUGAAAUGCGUAGAUAUCUGGAGGAACACCGGUGGCGAAAGCGGCUUUCUGGCGCGUUACUGACGCUGAGGCUCGAAAGCGUGGGGAGCAAACGGGAUUAGAAACCCCAGUAGUCC
rnacentral:rRNA from 1 species